rnacentral:lncRNA from 1 species
AGAACCACCGCACGAUGGGACACGCGAGGAAGGGGGCUCCGGGCCCCAUCCCCAGGGAGCAAGAAGACGCAGAGGACCGCGCCGGUUCAGGUGCCGCUGGAGAAAUGGAAUCUGACGGAGAAACUGAUCUGGGGCGGCAGCCCGCUAGGUUCGCCUGACUCACUAAAUGCUACUACAGUGCCCCACACGGACUGCCACGAGCGGGUCACGUGACUGGACUCUGGAUCGGCUGUGCUGUGAUGGCCGCGUAGCGCGCUGCUGUGCGCGCGAGACUAUAAGCCUCUGGGCCGCCGGUGCCUCCGCGCGGUCACCGCCUCCACCCGCCUGGCCGCUUCCCUCGGCGCAUGCGUAGCACACCGACUCCAGGAUUGUUUCCCAAAUCCCACUUCCGCCACUUCCUCCUCCCGAGACCAGCCAAGCGCGCCUGGCUGUCUGCCCUUCUUGGGCUCUUGGGGAGAACGUGGUCCGGGAACUGGCAGUCACGGGGAGGCAGCACAAGAGGUUUUCGCCCUCAUGUGCUGGUGCAACUAUCGCGACCAUCACCCUGAGAACUGGAGGAAGGGUGCCGCAGGCAAAGAGUGGCGCGCCUGCAGAUUCGGUUCCGCGCUUGGGGCU